rnacentral:rRNA from 1 species
UACGUAGGGUGCGAGCGUUGUCCGGAAUUACUGGGCGUAAAGAGCUCGUAGGUGGUUUGUCGCGUUGUUCGUGAAAACCGGGGGCUUAACCCUCGGCGUGCGGGCGAUACGGGCAGACUGGAGUACUGCAGGGGAGACUGGAAUUCCUGGUGUAGCGGUGGAAUGCGCAGAUAUCAGGAGGAACACCGGUGACGAAGGCGGGUCUCUGGGCAGUAACUGACGCUGAGGAGCGAAAGCGUGGGGAGCGAACAGG